rnacentral:rRNA from 1 species
AGUCACUGACAUUAGAUACCCCGGUAGUCCAGGGUGUAAACGCUGCAGACUUGGUGUUGGGGCCCUUUGGGGCAUUCAGUGCCGGAGAGAAGUUGUUAAGUCUGCUACUUGGGGAGUACGUCCGCAAGGAUGAAACUUAAAGGAAUUGGCGGGGGAGCACCGCAACGGGAGGAGCGUGCGGUUUAAUUGGAUUCAACACCGUAAAACUCACCAGGGAAGACUGUUACAUGAAGGCCGAGAUGAAGACUCUGCUAGAUUUUCAG